rnacentral:rRNA from 1 species
AUUAACGCUGGCGGCGUGCCUAAUACAUGCAAGUCGAAUGGUAGUAGCAAUACAAACCAUGGCGAACGGGUGAGUAACACGUAGGUAACCUGUCUUUAAGACGAGGAUAACCGUUGGAAACGACGGAUAAUACUGGAUAGGACAUCACAAAGGGCAUCCUUAGAUGUUUAAAGAUUAUUAUGUCACUUAGAGAGGGGCCUGCGGCGCAUUAGCUAGUUGGUGAGGUAAAAGCCCACCAAGGCGAUGAUGCGUAGCCGGACUGAGAGGUUGAACGGCCACAAUGGAACUGAGAACGGUCCAUACUCCUACGGGAGGCAGCAGUAGGGAAUUUUCGGCAAUGGGCGCAAGCCCUGACCGAGCAACGCCGCGUGAACGAAGAAGUUAUUCGUAAUGUAAAGUUCUUUUAUCUGGGAAGAAAAAACAAAUUGACGGUACCAGAUGAAUAAGCUCCGGCUAACUACGUGCCAGCCGCCGC